rnacentral:lncRNA from 1 species
UGUUCCCGGACACAGUGAGUAUUAAUUCCUUCGCACAGUUGAUUUUCCGGAAAUUCCAAGGUACCUGCCGUGUUUCAAAGACCUUGUCUCUCCUUCCCUAUCUUUUGUUUACUGUAUUUGGUUUCAGACUAUUAUAGACCGUGUUUUCUAGACUAGUGAUAUAUAGAUGCUUAUGUACUCAGUGACACCGGGUUUUGGGAGUGUAUUUAUAUCCAGUAUUUGUGGGAUUUUCUCUUAAACUUAAUUAUUAUAUUUUCCGUAUUUAAAAGAAAUUAUGGGUUGUUGAUGUUGUCGGCUUGACUAGUAUUGAAAUAGGCGCUAUCACGACGGAUGAGAUUUCGGGUCGUGUCAAGUACACAUUCUAAAUUUUUCUUAGUUUUCGCAUUGAUUGUUACAUGUUUGCCUUGUGAGAUUUGAAGAAGUUCUAUCUCCCGUUUCCGUUUGAUCCUUCCAAUUGGUGCUUCUUCAACAUCUGUCUGCAUUUAUUAUUAAAAAUUAAAUUGAAUCCAUAGUUGUGAAUAGUGGGAAGAAGCUCUUGUACUGGAUGAUGGAGCAACACUCUGUGCAACGUUGUUGAACUAGUUUCUGAGUUACUGUGUCUGUUUUUGGAAUCUAAUCAAAAUUUGAAUUUCUGUCAUUUCAGUGCUUGGCAGGACUUUGUGGUGCUUGUUUUGAUCAGCACAAUAUGUUAUUUCUUCUUCCUUGAGAAGUUACUGGUUAGUAUUUUAGUUUUAAAUAGAAUUUUAAAAAUAACUUUGGCUUGAGACCCCCCAAAACCACACACACACACACACACACACAACUGUUGGAACAUAGAAAGGUAAAAUUCCUGAUCCUUGGAUGCUCUUAUUUCCUGUUCAGCUGCUUGUUUAUCCGAGACUUGGGUAGGAGUAAUUGAACAGGGUCUUUUGGUAGUGUUAUUGUACUAAGCAGGAAACACCACUUCGCGGAAAAAAUACACUGUGUAGGUAGGUAAAAAAAAUUAUAUGUAUAUAUAUACUAUGUAUUGACUCCCCUUAAUUUCCCGGUAUAUCUACUUUUGUACCGAAGGAGCAAAGUAGGUAAAGCCACUGCUUGGUUCCUAUUGGAUUGAGGUUUACCAUAUCCAAGAAAAAAGAGAGAGGAUUCUGAAACACAGAUAGCAUGAUCUCUAUUAUAAAUUCCCCACUGUAAGUACGUCUAUCCACUAGACAAAAUGACAUUUUUUUACUUUGAUUGAAUAUUGGGUUUUGAGCAAUAUCCAUUUGAUAAUCAUUUUUAUAUAAUUAUACCCAGUGAGCCUGGUUGGAAAGGAUGUCCCUUUAGAACAUAAGGCAGGCCUGACCUCUGCUUGCAUCUUGUUAUUACACUGUGCUAUCUCAUUAUGUCACGACUUUAAGAGCUAUGAUGCUAGGUCCUCUGUCCUGAGAAAUAAUUGAGCUCAGAUUUUUGAAUAGCUAGAAAAUGAAAAAUUACAGCAUACUCCCUCCGUUUCAAUUUUUUGAGAUGGUAACAUUUGUGUGUAUUAAUAUAUAACGGUACAUAGGUUGUACUGAAACCAUAAUUACAAGAGAACAAAAGGAAAGAAUAAAAUGAUCUACAAUCCGAGCAGUAUUCUAAAACUUCUAGGAUUGAUACAGUAUCUUCUGGGCACUUCUGUUUACACCAAAAAUAAAAAAAGAAGAACACUAUUCAGUUUGUCUUAUGCACUGAAUUGCUACUGUCUUCAAAACAAUUAGAGUUCCUCUCCUUCCAGAUUGUCCACCAUAUACAUGUAGGGACAAUCCUCCAUCUAUCUCUGUUUCCAGCUCCAGUUUCAGCUUCAUCCCAACUAGUAAGCACUUUAGUAAUCUUAGAGGGCAUUGUCCAUGAGAUACCUUUGAAAUUAAUCAAUAUCUUUCAUAGUUGAUCUGUAAUCCUGCAGUGUAAAAAUAGAUGGCUAAUCCCAAAUAGAAAGCACGAAGUUUAAUUUAGAUGAGGUAAUUUGACUCGGCACGGGUUUAAGAGAAAGAGGGAUACUUUUGAAACUUGUGGUCUUAAAAGUUUAAGGGGUAAAAGCUUUGUGGAGCCAUGACAUUUGUGUUGUUAUAAAAGCUUCUUAUUAAGGGUAAAAUAAAAAAUUUAAAGUUGAAUUGUUUUCAAUUAUAGAAAUGUGUCAUUCUUUUUGGAACGGACUAAUAAGGAAAGUGUGUCAUCUAAAUUGAAACGGAUGGAGUAAUAUAUUCUAGAUGAGUAAAGCAAAGUGCAACUAUAUGGCAUUUCUUUCAUUUUCCCCAACUUGGUUCCAUAAUGUUGGAAAAGCUUAAAAUUUCCAACAGUUCCUCUAUAUCAGUGUUGCCUAUUCUUCCCUGGUGAUGCAUUCAAAAACAAUAAUUUUUCUCCAACAUAUCGUGUUUGCUUGCUUCACUGAGGCGAAUUCAGGAUUUUGUGUUCGUGAGUGUUUAACUUUAUUUGACGUAAAGUUACCACCAAUCAAAUCGUAUAAGUGCACAACUAUUUAAACACGAUAAAAAAUUAAUGAGAAACCCAUAGAAUUAAUAUUACAAAUGCCAUAAAAACUGUGAUGGAUAACGCAAUGGACGAGAAAGAAAAUUAGUGAAUUUUACCGUUCCGGAGGAACUCUUUAUUUUUUGAAGCAAACUUUCAUUUUCUUUCUUUCCUAUGGUGAAUUAGAUGAAGUAGAAGGAAAAGCAAAGAAAAAAAGUCAGAAUCAAAAGAAAUAAUAAAACAGUAGUAUUGGAUAAAAAAAAUAGCUGGUGAAAAGCAAAAAAGAUGACCUAAUAAUUGGGGCAAAAGAAAAAUAGUGCUUGAUAAUAUAAGAAAAGAAAAAGGGAGUAAAACAAUCUUAAUCUUGCUAGGAUUCAGCUUCGGUCUCUCAACCUUCAACUUUCAUAACCCUCCAGCACUUACUUGCGUGCUUGUUGUUUAAUUAUAUCCGUUCGCUUAAAUUUUCUAUGUAAUUAUACAUACUCCGAGUCGAGGUUAAUGGGUGCUCGAGCACCCAAGUUUUACAUGUAAAUCCGCCCCUAUUACCUCAGAAAUUAGACCAUUAUCUUGGUCCUUUUAUGUAACAUUUCAUUAGAGUUUAAACUUUAAACUACUAAACAAUAAACAUAAUAAAAUUCAUUAUUUGCCUAUAAAAUCCACCUUGCUUAGGAAGCAAAAAAAAAGGGUCAUAAAGUUUUAUCAAACAAUAAUUUGUAGAAUUGAUUACCUUUCCUUUCUCAAUUAAAAACAUUAGUGUGUGUGUCAGCUGCAUUUUGAUGUCAGCUUUGGAAUAGAAUAUAUGCACAUCCAUCAGCUUUUAUAUCUUUUGCCAACUCUUAAGUAGAAAGGUGGAAUUUGAUGACGCCAACUACGUGGAAUGUCAUGUCAUCCAUCAACUUUUAUACUAUAUUUUUAUAAUAUUUUUAUUAUUUGUGAAAUUCAUAUUUUAAAUCUGUCUCUUGAACAUGAAAAGUGAAAACUCAGACGCUUGUGAUUACUGCACCAUUUGCGUUUAACACUAGGUCUUUUGGCAUCUAUUUUUGCGCCUAAAUUUUAUUUAUCAAAUACUAGAAGACUUACGUUAUAGAUUUUUCAUUGGAAAUGCAGCUAUUAGAGAGUACAUAUGCCGCUCUAGAGUUUUCUCUUGUGGCCAUUACUCUACAUGUUUUCUACUCUAUGGUAAGAUUAUGCAGUUGAUAUUUGAUAACUCUUGGAUAAUUUCUAGUCUGUUAAUCGAAGAUCCUGUCUUUAAAUUGUGCGCACACAACACUUUUGGCAGAUAUGAAAUGAGGAGUAAUCUUGGCUUUUGGCAGCUUCAGUUGCAGGCAGUCUAUUCAGUAAUGAUAGAUAGCAUCAGUAUUGGGUUUUGGUGCUUCUAUGAGUCAAUGCAAUGUACAUUCCAUACCAUUCUAACCCUGCAUGAAAUGAGUAUGAUGGAGAAAUGAUGAGGCUGUAUAGGAAUAUUGUAACAACAACAAACCCAUUGGAUAUUGUAUAUGCUUCUUUUUCACGUUAAAAAUGUAUUUUCUUUGUAUUAUUUUCUCUUAUAUCUUUUCCUCAUCAUCUUAUGUGAUGAGGUGGUUGAUACCUCUGGUAGUCAAAUAUGUAUACCGAUAUAGGUAAGGUAGUUAUCGCUUGUCUUCUUUUUGUGUCUAGUACUAGAGGAUAGUAGCUCAAUGUAGAUGAAAAAAGACCAUGUGACAUUUGAACCACAGUAGAUGAAAAAUUGCUGGC